rnacentral:lncRNA from 1 species
AUUAAAUCAAACAGCGGUAAAGUGCUUUAUUUGAUUUACAAAGUAAAAGAGGCCACUUUUAUUAGACUGAAGUUUGGUUCAAGAUCAUUGAAAAAGAAAAAACGCUCUCUGAAAAACAGCAACUCCUCCAGAUGUAGGGUCACUUUUCAGAACUUUUUAUAAUCAAUAGUUUGGUCUAUAACUUCAUUACACGUUCGCUAACAGAGGUUUAACACAUGGAAGCUGUUGUUUUUGUUAAAGCAAAAGGAAGAAAGGUCAUAAUUGAGAGCACAAAGACUUUUUCCUUAGCCCUGAAAAACUAACAUGGAGGUCCUUAGAGAGUGUGUUGUUGUUGGAAACGACGUUCAGGUUCCACGUCCGUUCAGGUGUCUGCGUAUUUUUGGUCACAUCCAGAUUAAACCUCACUUAUUCCUGUAAAAGUAUAACUUUCUGACUCAUCUUUGGCUGUUUUCUGGUUUCACAGAUGGCUGACGAGGUUUCCAUUCGCUCUCCCUCAGCUCUCCAGAAUUUGCCACCAAACAUGGGAAGCCAUCAGACAUAUGAGCUCUCAAAUUAGCAUCGAUUCAGUGACAGACGCAGGGAUGGAGGACGCAGAUCGAGAUAUGAUUAAAGGUCAGAGUCAGGAGAAAUUACAGGCCUGUUGCGCUCAUGUUAUUUUCCAUGUCAGGUCGGUCUGGAAGGGUUCGAACCUGUGGCCCAUCCUACAGCUUGGUUAGCGGUGACACAGCCAGAGGAGACACGGCAGGAUGGUUAAUAGUCGUAUCCGGGACAGGAGAGUUCUGGGAAAUCGGUGGCAGAUGUUGGCGAGUUUGGAUGUAAAUCAGGACUUUGAGAAUCGAACUGUGGAAAGAAUUUAAAACCAUUACAGGGACCCAGUAGUGUUUUACGCUUUAUCCUGUUUGUGUUUGGUUGAUUCUGAUGGUUAAGUCUUAUUUGUUUGGGGUUGUGUCUAAAAGUUCAAACUUUUAGAGCGAUAGAUUUCAAACAAAGAGGACCUGAUUCACCGCUGAGAGUCUUUGUUCAAUGCUGCCCUGAAAUGCUCCUCUGUUUUCCUGCACCAUGAUGUGGUUCAAAGACACUUUAUAAAAAUGUGGAGCGUGUGAUUCUUGAACUUGUGCACUAAGUUCAAAGUGAUAAAUCUGUAAAAUUGAACUCAUGAGGUUUCUCUGCCUGAUAGAUGAUCGCAUGUUUCUUUUGUGAAAGCAGCUCCUUGUUCAUUUAUUUCUGCUUUUAUUUUAGCUUGAUGCUUUUUUAUUCCAGCCAUGAUCAGUGACUCUAAACCAGCUCUUUCCUGCCCCAGUUUGACCUUUUGAAACCGGGGAAUGGACGACACACUUAUUCACUCUGUUUCCGGCACUUGAUGAAAUUAACUUGUGCAUAAACCAUUACACAUUCAUGGAGAGAAUCAGACACAGAGAUGAAGUUUUCCCUCUUUCUUAUAUGAGCUGAUGUUAUGAAAGGUGUCUGCAUAUUUGGGGAGUUUGUGGCUUUUUAGUGGAGACCUCAUUUUCUAUUUACUGCUAGUUUUAUUGAUUUUAUAAGAUGCUUUCACUGCAUGUUUACCGCUGAUAGGACACAGUUUGAAUUUAAGAGAUCCAGCUUCUGUUAUACUUCAUUUUCUGAUGCCUAGUUUUCUCUGUUUCUGUAUCAGUAUCUGUAUCUGUUUCUGUAUCAGUGCAGAAAAAAAACACCUCACCCACCAACUGUCUCUGACCGACAGUAAACCCAGAUGAUGCCAUCCUCUGUUGUUUCCCUGUUCCAUCGCUGACAGGGUGAGUCACUCUGAGCCGUGUUCAUGACUUCUAGAUUAGUCAUUAUCUACAGGAUUAGACCGCAGAGGUCGAAUAAUCUUACAAAAAGCAUCUAUAAUCCUUAAAUAAAUAUCUGUGGUCAUUAAUAAUCCGCUAAGUUGAAAGAUGAAUAUUAAAAUAGAAAUAAUACUUUAUACUAGUAGUCACCCCCUGCUGAAAAGAAAGUGUUCACAGCAUCCAGAGUUAUUAGUCACCUCAGCUAUUCAACAUCCUCUUUCUUUAGUAUUUUAAGACAAUUUUUCCAGAACAACAAAACAUCCGCUGUGUGUGUGCAAGUCAGUCAACUUGUGCCAAGUACGAUACACAUUAAUAAGAACUUAGAAUAAAGUUGCACGACAGUACAUACGCCUGAUUAUACAGGUGAAAACAAAGCCUCGCAGUGGAGAAGAUCUGGCGGCAGAGAGGGCCUCAUGGCAGAGCUCUGUAGCCUGACCCCCUGGUCAUGUCUUUUCAUACUUUCUUUGAGAUGUUUAGUGUGUUUCUGAGUUUUUCCACAUCUUCAGCCUGUUUGUUGGUCUGCGUUAUGAGUUUGGGGCUGUCUAACUGAAAUUUCAAACUUAAAAGAUUCAAACUUACAGAAAUCUAGUGUUUUGUAAAGCUUACUUCCACUGUCCAAGAGGUCUCUUGUGUUUGAAUUUGCAUCUUGGUUCUAAGAGGCUAUGUCUGUUUUUGUAUUAAUGUGUAAACAUGGUGAGUUGUUUGGCUGUGGUUAGAUGAAUGUUAUUCUUCUUGUUCGCUGUUUAAUGUUGGUUUGGGGAGAUCUUAAAAGUCAUUUAACUUGGCAUGAGUGUGCUGCAAAUAAAAAGAAUUUUUCAUGAUGUAAAACUGAAAAAAAAAGUUUUAUGUAGUCCUAUAAGGACUUCUUUGGGCUGUAGUUAAAGCAGUUGUAAUGUGCAGCCCUUUCUUCCUCACUCAUCUUUCUCACAGUGAAACACAGAAACCCACUAGUCUUAUUUGCGCUGCGCCUCAGGAGGCCUGCUAAAUCAAUAACAUCACCAUCAUAUUUCUGAGUAUGUCUGUAUUGCCUCAAACUUUGAAGUGUUUGCAGGAGAAAUUUUCAACAACCUGUUGAGUCAUGAGUUGUUUUCCCCGCAGACCCGAGCGCUCAGAUUGUUGUUGUGUUGUUGUUGUUGUUGUUGUUGCUGUUGUUGUUGGUGAUCUCUGGGUGUAUGAACAGUUCUUUUGUGGUCUUUUGCAGAACAUUUCUCGUACACCCUCUCCUGUCCGGUCUGGUCCAGUCACAAAUUCCAGUUAGCUCGACGCCACUGAAGCCAAAGGUGAGAAGUCAAAGCAAAAAAGCUCUAGAAAAAUGAAGACCCCACUCCAAAAGUUGGACAAGACAAGUUUUGGUAGACUAUAGCCAAUGAAAAGGGGAGUUGACGAUAACGACAUCAUCAACAACACUGGCACGAAAACGUCAGUGGUGUGGAGGUAUUUUGUUUUUUUGAGGUCAGACAUGAAGCAGAGUAAUGUGCACUGCAAACUAUGUCGAGUACGUGUUAAAUUUCAUUUAAGAGUAACAGGGAACACUUUAGAUUGACUAGUUAUUUUUUAAUAUUGUGAUAUGUAUCUAAAUUGACUGAUAUGGAAAAAAUAUAUUGUGAUAAACUUUUUCCCAUGUCGCCCAGCCCUAUGAAGAAUUAUUUUUCAGUUAUUUUUGGGGCAUUUUUGUCUUUAUUAAGAUGCAAGUUUAUCAAAUGCAGGAAGGCAAAGGUUCAAACAUGAACUGAAAGAAGUAUUAAUAUCCCCUGUCCCAGACUUCAAGAGAAGAACAUCAGUCUUCAGAGUUCACCUGAGACUGUCCUGGAGACUAUCUAUCACCAGGAAGGAGGAUGCUGCAACGCUGGAAUUUAGGGUAUGCAAUAUCUGUAUCUUCUAUCAAACAGCAGUGAUUCUUCUGAAAACAGUGAAUGAACAUAAAAUAAAGAAAGUAAUUAGAUUAUUUAGAAAGGGAGUUUACCAAAAAUGCACAAAAUCGAAACCAAACCCAGUUUCUGCGUCAAGAUUAACUGCGUCACCAAGGAAGCGAUAUCAGUAAAUAAAAAAAAAACUCAACUAAUUAAAAAAAAUAAACACUUUUAGUUAAUUCUAAGUACAGCUGUAUGUACGCAAAACUAAAAGGACGGAUGUCAAGAAAAAGCUGGAGUUUUCCAAAACCACAGUUUUUAAUGACGUAAUCCUGUGGUUUCUUGUGGACGGCAGGCCAAAAUGUAUCAAAUAUAUCCGUUUAAGCAAAUACCAGGCUCGGUGUGGAAGAAGCCUCAAUCAAACAAGAGCACACCAACAUUCAAGAAACCAAAAAAACUCAAAACAAAAGGUUCAGAUCAAAUUAUCAAAACUGCUUCAACAAAUUGAACCAAAAAAUUCAGAGUCGGAUGGAUUUGCAGACUCUUUCGUGAUCGACAGCACAUCUAUUUAUGAAAGCUCUAGCUCAGAGAAUCCAAAUUAUAAUCAGGCAACACACAGAUCUGUUUACUUGUUUCAGACUAAAGGGAUAUAAAUAAAGAUCCGCCCUCCCACGACGACAUCUCAUCGACUGCCAGUUGUUUCCCGCUCAUGAUUGCAUCUGGACCUCUGACCCGACAUCCUCCUACCCUGUACUUUUAACUCAGCAGCCAAUGGAAACCUCUGCUCCUAUUUUUACCUCGUG